rnacentral:rRNA from 1 species
CCAGAGAACUUUCCAGAGAUGGAUUGGUGGCCUUCGGGAACUCUGAGACAGGUGCUGCAUGGCUGUCGUCAGCUCGUGUUGUGGAAUGUUGGGUUUAAGUCCCGCGAACGAGCGCAACCCUUAUCCUUUGUUGCCAGCGGUUAGGCCGGGAACUCAAAGGAGACUGCCAGUGAUAAACUGGAGGAAGGUGGGGAUGACGUCAAGUCAUCAUGGCCCUUACGAGUAGGGCUACACACGUGCUACAAUGGCGCAUACAAAGAGAAGCGACCUCGCGAGAGCAAGCGGACCUCAUAAAGUGCGUCGUAGUCCGGAUUGGAGUCUGCAACUCGACUCCAUGAAGUCGGAAUCGCUAGUAAUCGUGGAUCAGAAUGCCACGGUGAAUACGUUCCCGGGCCUUGUACACACCGCCCGUCACACCAUGGGAGUGGGUUGCAAAAGAAGUAGGUAGCUUAACCUUCGGGAGGGCGCUUACCACUUUGUGAUUCAUGACUGGGGUGAAGUCGUAACAAGGUAAGCGUAGUGCU